UACGUAGGCAGCGAGCGUUGUUCGGAGUUACUGGGCGUAAAGGGUGUGUAGGCGGUUGUUUAAGUUUGGUGUGAAAUCUCCCGGCUCAACUGGGAGGGUGCGCCGAAUACUGAAUGACUUGGAGUGCGGGAGAGGUGAGUGGAAUUCCUGGUGUAGCGGUGAAAUGCGUAGAUAUCUGGAGGAACACCGGUGGCGAAGGCGGCAUCCUGGACCGGCAUUGACGCUGAGGCGCGAAAGCCAGGGGAGCAAACGGG
rnacentral:rRNA from 1 species